UACGAAGGGGGCUAGCGUUGCUCGGAAUCACUGGGCGUAAAGCGCACGUAGGCGGCUUUCUAAGUCAGGGGUGAAAUCCUGGAGCUCAACUCCAGAACUGCCUUUGAUACUGGGAAGCUCGAGUCCGGAAGAGGUGAGUGGAACUCCGAGUGUAGAGGUGAAAUUCGUAGAUAUCGAGAGGAACACCUGUGGCGAAGGCGGCCUUCUGGACGGUGACUGACGCUGAGACGGCGAAAGCGUGGGGAGCAAACAGGG
rnacentral:rRNA from 1 species